rnacentral:rRNA from 1 species
UACGUAGGGUGCGAGCGUUAAUCGGAAUUACUGGGCGUAAAGCGUGCGCAGGCGGUUUUGUAAGUCAGAUGUGAAAUCCCCGGGCUUAACCUGGGAAUGGCAUUUGAGACUGCAAGGCUGGAGUACGGCAGAGGAGACUGGAAUUCCUGGUGUAGCAGUGAAAUGCGUAGAGAUCAGGAGGAAUACCGAUGGCUAAGGCAGCUCUCUGGGCUGAUACUGACGCUCAUGCACGAAAGCAUGGGGAGCGAACAGG